rnacentral:rRNA from 1 species
GAUGAACGCUGGCGGCGUGCCUAAUACAUGCAAGUCGAGCGAACAGACGAGGAGCUUGCUCCUCUGACUUUAGCGGCGGACGGGUGAGUAACACGUGGAUAACCUCCCUAUAAGACUGGGAUAACUUCGGGAAACCGGAGCUAAUACCGGAUAAUAUAUUGAACCGCAUGGUUCAAUAGUGAAAGACGGUUUUGCUUUCACUUAUAGAUGGAUCCGCGCCGCAUUAGCUAGUUGGUAAGGUAACGGCGUACCAAGGCAACGAUGCGUAGCCGACCUGAGAGGGGGAUCGGCCACAAUGGAACGGAGACACGGUCCAGACGCCUACGGGAGGCAGCAGUAGGGAAGCUUCCGCAAUGGGCGAAAGACUGACGGAGCAACGACGCGUGAGUGAUGAAGGUCUUCGGAUCGUAAAACUCUGUUAUUAGGGAAGAACAAAUGUGUAAGUAACUAUGCACGUCUUGACGGUACCUAAUCAGAAAGCCACGGCUAACUACGUG